rnacentral:rRNA from 1 species
GACGAACGCUGGCGGCGUGCUUAACACAUGCAGGUCGAACGGGCCUUGUCCCCUUUUUUUUUGGGGGUGGGGUUAGUGGCGAACGGGUGAGUAACACGUGAGUAACCUGCCCCUCACUUCUGGAUAACCGCUUGAAAGGGUGGCUAAUACGGGGUGUUCUGGCCUGCUCGCAUGGGUGGGUUUGGAAAGAUUCGACCGGUUUUGGUUGUUUUGGUGGGGGAUGGGCUCGCGGCCUAUCAGCUUGUUGGUGGGGUGAUGGCCUGCCAAGGCUUUGACGGGUAGCCGGCCUGAGAGGGUGGGCGGUCACACUGGGACUGAGACACGGCCCAGACUCCUACGGGAGGCAGCAGUGGGGAAUAUUGCACAAUGGGCGCAAGCCUGAUGCAGCGACGCCGCGUGAGGGAUGGAGGCCUUCGGGUUGUGAACCUCUUUCGCCAGUGAAGAAGGUCCUGCUCUUUGUGGUGGGGUUGACGGUAGCUGGGUUAAUGAAGCGCCGGCUAACUACGUG